rnacentral:rRNA from 1 species
GACGAACGCNGGCGGCGUGCUUAACACAUGCAAGUCGAACGAAGAGCGAUGGAAGCUUGCUUCUAUCAAUCUUAGUGGCGAACGGGUGAGUAACGCGUAAUCAACCUGCCCUUCAGAGGGGGACAACAGUUGGAAACGACUGCUAAUACCGCAUACGAUCUAACCUCGGCAUCGAGGAUAGAUGAAAGGUGGCCUCUACAUGUAAGCUAUCACUGAAGGAGGGGAUUGCGUCUGAUUAGCUAGUUGGAGGGGUAACGGCCCACCAAGGCGAUGAUCAGUAGCCGGUCUGAGAGGAUGAACGGCCACAUUGGGACUGAGACACGGCCCAGACUCCUACGGGAGGCAGCAGUGGGGAAUCUUCCGCAAUGGACGAAAGUCUGACGGAGCAACGCCGCGUGAGUGAUGACGGCCUUCGGGUUGUAAAGCUCUGUUAAUCGGGACGAAAGGCCUUCUUGCGAAUAGUUAGAAGGAUGACGNA